rnacentral:rRNA from 1 species
UACGUAGGGUGCGAGCGUUAAUCGGAAUUACUGGGCGUAAAGCGUGCGCAGGCGGUUUUGUAAGCCAGAUGUGAAAUCCCCGGGCUUAACCUGGGAAUGGCAUUUGGGACUGCAAGGCUGGAGUGUGGCAGAGGAGACUGGAAUUCCUGGUGUAGCGGUGAAAUGCGCAGAUAUCAGGAGGAACACCGAUGGCGAAGGCAGGUCUCUGGGCCACUACUGACGCUGAGGAGCGAAAGCGUGGGGAGCGAACAGG